rnacentral:rRNA from 1 species
GCUCAGGAUGAACGCUAGCUACAGGCUUAACACAUGCAAGUCGAGGGGCAGCAUUUCAGUUUGCUUGCAAACUGGAGAUGGCGACCGGCGCACGGGUGAGUAACACGUAUCCAACCUGCCGAUAACUCGGGGAUAGCCUUUCGAAAGAAAGAUUAAUACCCGAUGGCAUAAUUAGACCGCAUGGUCUUAUUAUUAAAGAAUUUCGGUUAUCGAUGGGGAUGCGUUCCAUUAGGCAGUUGGUGAGGUAACGGCUCACCAAACCUUCGAUGGAUAGGGGUUCUGAGAGGAAGGUCCCCCACAUUGGAACUGAGACACGGUCCAAACUCCUACGGGAGGCAGCAGUGAGGAAUAUUGGUCAAUGGGCGCAGGCCUGAACCAGCCAAGUAGCGUGAAGGAUGACUGCCCUAUGGGUUGUAAACUUCUUUUAUAUGGGAAUAAAGUUUUCCACGUGUGGAAUUUUGUAUGUACCAUAUGAAUAAGGAUCGGCUAACUCCGUGCCAGCAGCCGCGGUAAUACGGAGGAUCCGAGCGUUAUCCGGAUUUAUUGGGUUUAAAGGGAGCGUAGGUGGACAGUUAAGUCAGUUGUGAAAGUUUGCGGCUCAACCGUAAAAUUGCAGUUGAUACUGGCUGUCUUGAGUACAGUAGAGGUGGGCGGAAUUCGUGGUGUAGCGGUGAAAUGCUUAGAUAUCACGAAGAACUCCGAUUGCGAAGGCAGCUCACUGGACUGCAACUGACACUGAUGCUCGAAAGUGUGGGUAUCAAACAGGAUUAGAUACCCUGGUAGUCCACACAGUAAACGAUGAAUACUCGCUGUUUGCGAUAUACAGUAAGCGGCCAAGCGAAAGCAUUAAGUAUUCCACCUGGGGAGUACGCCGGCAACGGUGAAACUCAAAGGAAUUGACGGGGGCCCGCACAAGCGGAGGAACAUGUGGUUUAAUUCGAUGAUACGCGAGGAACCUUACCCGGGCUUAAAUUGCAUUUGAAUAUAUUGGAAACAGUAUAGCCGUAAGGCAAAUGUGAAGGUGCUGCAUGGUUGUCGUCAGCUCGUGCCGUGAGGUGUCGGCUUAAGUGCCAUAACGAGCGCAACCCUUAUCUUUAGUUACUAACAGGUCAUGCUGAGGACUCUAGAGAGACUGCCGUCGUAAGAUGUGAGGAAGGUGGGGAUGACGUCAAAUCAGCACGGCCCUUACGUCCGGGGCUACACACGUGUUACAAUGGGGGGUACAGAAGGCAGCUACCUGGUGACAGGAUGCUAAUCCCAAAAGCCUCUCUCAGUUCGGAUCGAAGUCUGCAACCCGACUUCGUGAAGCUGGAUUCGCUAGUAAUCGCGCAUCAGCCAUGGCGCGGUGAAUACGUUCCCGGGCCUUGUACACACCGCCCGUCAAGCCAUGAAAGCCGGGGGUACCUGAAGUACGUAACCGCAAGGAGCGUCCUAGGGUAAAACU